GUGUUGCCUGUCUGGUACAAUGCACUCUUGGGAAUUUCAAAUCACUACCCAUGCUAGUGUCAGGGACUGUGUGGGCAGUGGAGCUCUCUCAUGGUUCUGAUUACAGCAGCCCAGAGCGGGGAAGUGGAACACUGAAGUUCUCUCUCUUACCCUUUCCCCGUAAUAGUGAAUCCCUCAAGGCUCUCAGACUGUCGUGGGGUCUUGCUCUGUCACCGGGACUGGAGUGCAGUGGCGUGAUUACAGCUCACUGCAGACUCAACCACGUGGGCCCAAAUGAUCUUCCUGCCUCAGCCUCCUGAGUAGCUGGGAACACAGAUAUCUACAAAGCAUUCCUAUCAUUAGAUUCUAAUCCAGAACCACAUGAUUCACCUUGUAUGGCUGUUUCUGUGGAUGUUUGUUAAAUAAGAAUAUUGAGAGCCAAGGAAUUCUAUCAAGCAAAGAUGUUCUACUCAGGUUUAUGAACAGUUUUCCCCCUGUAUGGCUGUACUGUUUAUUCCACUGAGCCUGGCUGCAUCCUUCUGCUUUGAUUUAUAGGGAAGGCAGAAGUCAACACCUAAAAGAUGUGACUUUUAAAACAGUUGCCUGUAAUUUCAACUCGACUUUCUAUUACCAAAACACAUACUGCUGUGAAUCCUUAUUAUCAAGCGGCAAUUGAACAUCACAAAAUGGCCAGCAGAUAAAUAGGAGCCUAACAGAAUAUACUAUCUAAAACAUAAAGUGAUGGUGAAAAGAAUUUGCAUGCUUCUCUAUGGUCAGCACUGUCGUAUACAAGUUGUAAAGAGCCCUCAAGAAUAUAUUAAAGGGAAUGUAAAUAAAUCACAGUGUUUCUAGUGUGACGUAAUUAAUCUGUGCAACAGAGCCUGGGAUAGUCUUUAUUUCUCCCUUUCUGUUGAAGUCCAGUUUCUCAGUUUAUGGCUUCUGCUCCAGGUAAGCAGAUCUUGUCUUUGACUCUGCAGAUUCAUCUGUCUUUCCACAUUUUCGUAUGGCAGUUUGCCCUCCAAACUUAGUUUUCUGAUUAGUGAAAGAAAAAUGAAUUUCAGUUUUUUUAGGAUUGUUUUUAUCAUAAGAAAGUGACUGUUUGCAAACUCUUUUCAUGCUGGAUUUGAAACCAGAAGUAAAAUAAUACUUUUUAA